rnacentral:misc_RNA from 1 species
UUUCCGUAGGUGAACCUGCGGAAGGAUCAUUCAUAAUAAGUGUUUUAUGGCACUUUUUUAAAUCCAUAUCCACCUUGUGUGCAAUGUCAGGGUUGAUUCUUCUCUCGAGAGGAUCAACCCCAAACAUCAACUAUAUCUCAACUCUUUGUCUGAAAAAUAUUAUGAACAAAACAAUUCAAAAUACAACUUUCAACAACGGAUCUCUUGGCUCUC